AGUGAACGCUGGCGGUAGGCCUAACACAUGCAAGUCGAACGGCAGCACAGUAAGAGCUUGCUCUUACGGGUGGCGAGUGGCGGACGGGUGAGGAAUACAUCGGCAUCUACUUUUUCGUGGGGGAUAACGUAGGGAAACUUACGCUAAUACCGCAUACGACCUACGGGUGAAAGCAGGGGAUCUUCGGACCUUGCGCGAUUGAAUGAGCCGAUGUCGGAUUAGCUAGUUGGCGGGGUAAAGGCCCACCAAGGCGACGAUCCGUAGCUGGUCUGAGAGGAUGAUCAGCCACACUGGAACUGAGACACGGUCCAGAAUCCUACGGGAGGCAGCAGUGGGGAAUAUUGGAGAAUGGGCGCAAGCCUGAUCCAGCCAUACCGCGUGGGUGAAGAAGGCCUUCGGGUUGUAAAGCCCUUUUGUUGGGAAAGAAAAGCAGAAGGUUAAUACCCCGCUGUUCUGACGGUACCCAAAGAAUAAGCACCGGCUAACUUCGUG
rnacentral:rRNA from 1 species